rnacentral:rRNA from 1 species
CCUACGGGAGGCAGCAGUAGGGAAUCUUCCACAAUUUUCUAAAUCCUUAUUUAUCAACUCCUCUUUUUUUCCUCCUUUCUUCUUCUCUUCCCCCCCUUUUGUUCGAUAAGCCCGUGCGUGCGCGUCCCUGUUCACGUUUCGACGGUAUCUAACCAGAAAGCCACGGCUAACUACGUGCCCGCCGCCGCGGUCCUCCGUCGGUGGCCCGCGUUCUCCGGCUUUCUUGGGCGGAACGGGCACGCAGGCGGUCGUUUAAGUCUGAUGUGAAAGCCCUCGGCUUACCCGGAGUAGUGCAUGGGAAACUGGGAGACUUGAGUGCAGAAGAGGAGAGUGGAACUCCAUGUGUAGCGGUGAAAUGCGUAGAUAUAUGGAAGAACACCAGUGGCGAAAGCGGCUCUCUGGUCUGUAACUGACGCUGAGGUUCGAAAGCGUGGGUAGCAAACAGGAUUAGAGACCCUGGUAGUC